rnacentral:rRNA from 1 species
CCUACGGGAGGCUGCAGUGGGGAAUAUUGCACAAUGGGGGAAACCCUGAUGCAGCGACGCCGCGUGAGUGAAGAUGUAUUUCGGUAUUUAAAGCUCUAUCAGCCGGGAAGAAGAAAGACGGUACCUGACUCAGAAGCCCCGGCUAACUACGUGCCAGCAGCCCCGGUAGUACGUAGGGGGCAAGCGUUAUCCGGAUUUACUGGGUUUAAAGGGAGCGUAGACGGCUGUGCAAGUCUGAAGUGAAAGCCCAGGGCUCAACCCUGGGACUGCUUUUGAAACUGUGGAGCUAGAGUGCUGGAGAGGUGAGUGGAAUUCCUAGUGUAGCGGUGAAAUGCGUAGAUAUUAGGAGGAACACCAGUGGCGAAGGCGGCUUACUGGACAGUAACUGACGUUGAGGCUCGAAAGCGUGGGGAGCAAACAGGAUUAGAUACCCCAGUAGUC